GUUAUAUGAUCAAGUAAAAGAAGAGCACAAGGCGGAUGCCUUGGUAGCAGAAGGCGAUGAAGGACGUAGUAACCUGCGAAAAGCUUCGGGGAGCUGGUAAACAAGCUUCGAUCCGGAGAUGUCCGAAUGGGAAAACCCAGCAUGCAUAAGCAUGCUAUCUUAUACUGAAUACAUAGGUAUAAGAGGCAAACCUAGGGAACUGAAACAUCUAAGUACCUAGAGGAAAAGAAAUCAACCGAGAUUCCGGUAGUAGCGGCGAGCGAAACCGGAGCAGCCCUUAAGCUUUUAUUAGUCUAACAAAAUAUUCUGGAAAGUUUAGCCAUAGUAGGUGAUAGCCCUGUAUGUGAAAGACUAGUUUAAGUGAAAUCGAGUAGGUCGGGACACGUGAAAUCUUGACUGAAUAUGGGGGGACCAUCCUCCAAGGCUAAAUACUCUCUGCUAACCGAUAGUGAACCAGUACCGUGAGGGAAAGGCGAAAAGUACCCCUGCAAGGGGAGUGAAAUAGAACCUGAAACCUUGUGCUUACAAGCAGUCGGAGCUGACUUGUUCAGUGACGGCGUACCUUUUGUAUAAUGGGUCAACGACUUAAUUUCAGUAGCAAGCUUAACCAAUUAGGGGAGGCGUAGGGAAACCGAGUCUUAAUAGGGCGUUUAGUUUCUGGAAUUAGACCCGAAACCGGGUGAUCUAUCCAUGGCCAGGGUGAAGGUCGAGUAACAUCGACUGGAGGCCCGAACCCACUUAUGUUGAAAAAUGAGGGGAUGAGCUGUGGAUAGGAGUGAAAGGCUAAUCAAACCCGGA
rnacentral:rRNA from 1 species